UGGAGGAAGGGGAGGUGAGCGCGAGCGCGAGCGCGGAUUUAGUGCUGAUUUUUCAGCGUGGAGUUUGUGAACUUGUGCUGCUCUUUGCAUUGCACUGCUUCAGCCUUGGAUAUGCAUGUGUGUGAGAUGUAAAGGAGGAAACAGAGGCUGCUGUCAUGCUGAAGCUGCAGUGGGAGUGCAGUUUGGCGUUGAUUUCCAGGCGCACUGGUGAUGAGCUCAGGAAAGAAACCUGAGCCAGGGCAUGAGACCACAGCUCAGUGAUGUGCUUCACUCUGAAGCGAGGAGAGAGCAGUUUGUCCUGACCAGACUGCAGAAGAUAAUGAGGAAGCACAGUGUGCCAUGUUGUCUGCCCUUUGGAGAGAAUCGAUUCCUUUUGACAGUGAGGCCCUGUACAGGCUUUGUCAGCUCUAUGCAGACCAUGGCUUCAGCAGUCAGAUGAAACCAAGAAGAUGUGAAGAAAAUCCUACAGAAACAGCUUGUCUUUAUUUGAGCGUUCCAGAAUUCAGGUCACACUAAUAAGAGGUCCAGUAGCUUUACCGUUAAACAUACACAGAAGGGGAAGUGACUAGGUGAUCAGCUGUCCUGGUGCGCUGUGACAGCAUUUCUGGUUUAUGGUAAUAAGCACUUCAGCAUGCCCAUACAUCUAUCAUGUCAGCACAGGCGAGACGAUCAGACAUCACGGAGCCAGAAGUUCAGGAGGGACAAGAGAACAAUGAUUCAGAAGAGGAGGAUGUAUCUGAAGAAGAAGAUAGGGAAGAACACAACCAGAGCAUGAGGCAUUAUCUUCAGAUGAAGAAGAAAUCCCCCAAGCUGAAAAAGAGACAUUUUGUCAAAGAACAGGAAAAUGACAUGGUCCUUGACACCAUAUGACAACCAGGGCAGGAUGCCAGCACAAAAUUUCAUAAGGAUGACCCCAUGGCCCACAAGACAUGCAGUUGCCCAUGCCCAGGACAUUGCUUAAACAUUCUACAUGUUCAUCACACCAGCCAUAAAAAAAAAAAAUCAUCCUGGAGAUGACAAAUUUGGAGGGUUUCUGUAAAAAUUGAGACAACUGGAAAAGGAUGGAUGAGAUUGGUCUGCAUGCCUACAUAGGGCUGCUAAUCUUAGCGGGUGUGCGUAGGUCCCAAGGUGAGGUUACGUCUAGUCUCUGGGAUGCAGAGAGUGGAAGGGCGAUUUUCUGUGCCAUGAUGCCACUGAAAGUCUUUCACACUUUCACAAGAAUGCUACAAUUUGAUAAUCAUGAAUCAAGAUCUGCAAGAGAGACAAACUGGCAGCCAUCAGAGAGGUCUGAGAGAAGUGGGUGGAGCGUCUGCCAUACCUCUAUAACCCUGGGCCUGAAGUAACAUCUGUAAUGAUGCUGUCCUUUCCGGCAGAGUAUGCCCAGCAAGCCAUCAACGUAUGGCAUCAGUAUAUGGGUGGCCUGUGACGCACAAUCCUGUUACGCUUGGAAGAUGCAAGUCUACACAAGGAAGCCUUCCAGUGGAGCCCCGGAGAAGAACCAGAGGAUGUGGGUUGUGCUUGACGUGACAGAUAGACUGAGGGGGCACAAUGUCAUGUGUGACAAUUUCUUCACCAGUUAUGAACUCAGCCAGCAGCUCCUGAAGAGGAAGAUCACCAUGUUUGGAAGAGUUAGGAAGAACAAGCCUGAGCUUCCCCCUGCACUCCUUGCAACAAGGGGAAGAGAGGCCUUCUCAUCAUAGUUUGCCUUCAACCCUACCACCAGACUCUAGUUUCGUACUUGCCAAAGAGGAACAAGAAUGUGGUCCUCCUGAGCACACUGUACAAAACGGCUGAGAUCAGUGAUCAUGAGGCCAGGAAGCCAGCCGUCCUCAUACAAUGCCUUUGUGAUAUGGAACAAGAUCAACCCUACCUGGAUGCCUGAUAAGCGGAACAAGAGGAGGGUGUUCCUGGAGCAGCUGGGAAAGCCACUUUAGUAUCCCCAUACAUUCAAAGAAGGGAGCGCCUCCCUCGCACAGCAGCCUUUGCAGUGCUUGUGAAAGCUCUUCAGGGGGCUGAAUCCUGUCCAGAUCCAUCUGAGGCUGCAGCUGAGGCUGGCAAGAGGAGGAGAUGCCAAUUCUGCCCCCCAAAGAAAGACUGUGAAACAAAUACUAUGUGCUGCACAUGUGAGAAAUACAUCUACAAAGUCCAUGCACACACAUUUGCAUACUGUCCUACAUUUACUAAAUAGAGUUGAUUGAUUUAUGUUCUUCAAGUUUUUGUUUUGUAUCUAUUAUCUUAUUUUAUUCUUAUUUAUUGUUGUUGUUUAUACACUUUGUGGGUGGGGGAAAUUGUUAAAAAAAUGGGAAGAGACUAGUAUUUUGUAGUUGAAUUCCUUAUUGUACAGAAUAUAAGAAUAUAUCACUAUGUUGCCAGAACUGUGAAGAGCUGGGGUGUGCAAUCUUUUCCACAAAGGGCCGGUGUGGGUGCAGGUUUUCAAUCCAAUCAAUCAGGAGCCAAAACCUGCACCCACACCAGCCCUUUCUGGAAUAGAUUGGAGACCCCUUGUGAAGAGGGAAGACCCAGAUAUAUACCCAGAUAAAGUUUGUGAUGAAGUUUGUGAUGAAUGACAGGUUUCUUCAUGGAAAAUAGAUUUGGGGUUUAAAAUUCAAUUAAGCCAGCUCUUGGCAUUUGACUAACUAUGUCAUGAAGCUUGGUUGAGAUGACGAGCAAAAACUCCCUUGAUUACAGAAGGACAAGUUAACAGGAAAGAAGGGGCUCAUCCCUGAUUUAAACAUAGGACCUCUAGCACUCAAAGCAAGACUCAUACCCCUAGACCAAAUAGCCUACUAGCCUGGAUUGGCUCAAGCCACUUUUGUUUUUGUUAAUUUCCUUUUGCACAAAUGUCCUAACAUAGACACGACUCUGGGUAUCCUAGAAAGGUCUACUCUCCUUCACAAUUCGGUUCCAACCUUAGUCCAUCACACUAGACAUUUCAACGUAUUUUUGCUUUUGUCUUCAGAGAGCAAAGUGACAUCUGUGAGCACUGGUUUAAUUAAAAUGCAGUGGUGACGUAGAGUGUUUGCAAGUUCUCAUCACCGAAAUUGGUACGCCAAGGUGCUAACCAAGAGGUAGACUAAACCUGAAAGGGCAUUCCCUUGAAAAGAGUCUUCCCUGAAAAUUCAAUUAAGCUGUUUUAUUUUAGGAGUUUAGUGAAGGUGGGUCAUUUUUGACCCUUAGGACAAGUGGAGUAUACAUAAUGUUAAGACUACACAAGGGCUAUAUAAACACAAUGACAAUGUAGUGAAAAGGGAUCACAUCAGUUUUAGCCUUAGUCCAGUACCCUGUCCUGAUCCAAUGUAAGGUUCUUCUAUUUGUUUUUAAAGCUCUUUAAAUGGGCUAGCCCCCUUCUACAUUGUAGACCUUCUUUCUCUAUACUUAGCUCUUAGGUCUCUGAGGUUUUCUGACCAGUUACUCCACACUGUUCUACAGUCUCAGUUGAGGCUAAAGGGUGACCAUGCUUUUGCAAUCACUGUGCCAAGGCUGUAGAACAGACUACCCCAUGAUAUCAGGAGUGCCUCAUCGGUUACCAUUUUAAAAUCAAAACUAAAGUCAUAUCUUUUCACAUUUAUUUUACUUUUGUUAUUGUUAUUACUAUUAUUGCUAUUUUAUCUUUAGCAGUAUUAUUUUAUUUAUUGUGUCCGGUCUGUAUUUUCAGUUUUAUCUCAGUUUUAUUCUUAUGUCUGUACGGCACUUUCGGCAACUAUAGUUAUUAGUAUUGUUAGCAUGUGUUAUUCUGGUUUUAACUUUGUUUUGCUACCCCGAUUUCUGGAUUUUGCCUAUUUUAUGUAUUUUGAUGAUUGCCUGAAUCUCUGCCUGUUUCUGACCUUGAUUUUGCUCCACGUUUUGUAUUGUUUGCCUGGUUUACCUACAGUCAGGUCCGGAAGUAUUUGGACAUUGACAGAGUUUUUGUGAUUUUGCCUUUAUAUAUCACCACAAUGGAUUUGAAAUAAAACAAUCAAGAUGUGAUUGAA